AUGCCAGUAAAUUAUGUCUGCUUAACUUUGAAAAUGUUCUGCAGAAAUCAUUAGGAUGGUGCUGGCAAUAACAAAGCCAUGGUACGAGCCUUAAGGACUUGCUAGUCCUUGAGGUCCCUGAAAAUGGCUACAUAU
rnacentral:snoRNA from 1 species